UGAGUAACGCGUAUCCAACUCCCCUUAGUAGGGCAUAGCCCGUAGAAAUGCGGAUUAAUACCCUAUGUUAUCGUCGAGGACAUCUGAAAUGAAUUAAAGGUUUACCGCUAAGGGAUGGGGAUGCGUCCGAUUAGGCAGCAGGCGGGUAACGGCCCACCUGGCCAACGAUCGGUAGGGGUUCUGAGAGGAAGGUCCCCCACAUUGGAACUGAGACACGGUCCAAACUCCUACGGGAGGCAGCAGUGAGGAAUAUUGGUCAAUGGGCGAGAGCCUGAACCAGCCAAGUAGCGUGCAGGAUGACGGCCCUAUGGGUUGUAAACUGCUUUUAUGCGGGGAUAAAGUCACCCACGUGUGGGUGUUUGUAGGUACCGCAUGAAUAAGGACCGGCUAAUUCCGUGCCAGCCGCGGC
rnacentral:rRNA from 1 species